rnacentral:misc_RNA from 1 species
GAUGAAGAACGUAGCGAAAUGCGAUAAGUAAUGUGAAUUGCAGAAUUCAGUGAAUCAUCGAAUCUUUGAACGCACAUUGCGCCCUUUGGUAUUCCUUAGGGCAUGCCUGUUCGAGCGUCAUUUAAACCUUCAAGCUCAGCUUGGUGUUGGGUGACUGUCCGCUUCACCGCGGACUCGCCUCAAAAUUAUUGGCGGCCGGUACAUUGGCUCUCGAGCGCAGCAGAAACGCGUAACUCGAGGUCCUCGUGCUGGCUCCCAGAAGCUAUCUUCACAAUUUUGACCUCGGAUCAGGUAGGGAUACCCGCUGAACUUAAGCAUAUCAAUAAGCGGAGGA